rnacentral:lncRNA from 1 species
UGUGUAGCUUGAAAACAGGAAUGCAUGAGAAAGAUUGAAGGUAGAAGGACGUGGAAACCCUAUCAGAUAGGGCAAAAAAAAAAAGGAGAGAUAAAGGAAGUAAGAAAAGGAAAAGGAACGAAAGAUAGUGAGGGGAGGGGUAAGGGGGUUGGUUUUAUUAGGAAGAGGAGACGGGUUAGGGUAUGUGCGACAAUGCACAUGAGAUGAAAGGAACCCAAAUGCAAUGAAC